rnacentral:misc_RNA from 1 species
CCGAGUGCGGGCCUCGCGGCCCAACCUCCCACCCUUGUCUCUAUACACCUGUUGCUUUGGCGGGCCCACCGGGGCCACCCGGUCGCCGGGGGACGCACGUCCCCGGGCCCGCGCCCGCCGAAGCGCUCUGUGAACCCUGAUGAAGAUGGGCUGUCUGAGUACUAUGAAAAUUGUCA